UAUCUAUCGGUCUGUCGGUUGGUCGGUUGGUCGGUCUCGGUCGGUCGGUCGGUCGGUCGGUGGGUCAUCUCUCUUCAU
rnacentral:miRNA from 1 species